rnacentral:rRNA from 1 species
AUCCUGGCUUAGGAUGAACGCUAGCGACAGGCCUAACACAUGCAAGUCGAGGGGCAGCGCGGGAGAAGCUUGCUUCUCCUGGCGGCGACCGGCGCACGGGUGCGUAACAGGUGUGCAAUCUGUCCAUAGUCGGGGGAUAGCCCAGCGAAAGCUGAAUUAACACUCCAUGUGAAUCGAAGCCGCAUGACUUUGAUUUGAAACGCAAGGACUAUGGGUGAGCACGCUUCUGAUUAGGUAGUUGGUGGGGUAACGGCCCACCAAGCCGACGAUCAGUAGGGGUUCUGAGAGGAAGGUCCCCCACAUUGGAACUGAGACACGGUCCAAACUCCUACGGGAGGCAGCAGUGAGGAAUAUUGGUCAAUGGGCGAGAGCCUGAACCAGCCAAGUCGCGUGAAGGAAUGAAGGUUCUAUGGAUUGUAAACUUCUUUUGUCCGAGGGUAAAAAAGGUCACGUGUGACUUCUUGCAAGUAUCGGACGAAUAAGCAUCGGCUAGCUCCGUGCCAGCAGCUGC